rnacentral:rRNA from 1 species
GACAGAGGGUGCAAACGUUGUUCGGAAUUACUGGGCGUAAAGCGCGUGUAGGCGGCUCUGCAAGUCGGGUGUGAAAUCCCAUGGCUCAACCAUGGAAGUGCACUCGAAACUGCAGGGCUAGAGUCCUGGAGAGGAAGGUGGAAUGCUUGGUGUAGAGGUGAAAUUCGUAGAUAUCAAGCGGAACACCGGUGGCGAAGGCGGCCUUCUGGACAGUGACUGACGCUGAGACGCGAAAGCGUGGGGAUCAAACAGG